CGGGGAAUCUUGGACAAUGGGCGCAAGCCUGAUCCAGCCAUGCCGCGUGAGUGAAGAAGGCCUUAGGGUUGUAAAACUCUUUCGCCGGAGAAGAUAAUGACGGUAUCCGGAGAAGAAGCCCCGGCUAACUUCGUG
rnacentral:rRNA from 1 species